UGAGAGAAGUGAGAUGAAAUCUUUGAUUGGAAAUUUCAUGUAGACGAUGCUAU
rnacentral:sRNA from 1 species